UUAAGUUAAGGUUAAGGUUAGGGUUAGGUGUAGGAUUUGAUUUUAUGGUUGAUUAAGGGUUAAGGUUAGGGUAAGGUGUAGGAUUUGAUUUUAUGGUUGAUUAAGGGUUAAGGUAAGGGUAAGGUGUAGGGUUUGAUUCUAUGGUUGAUUAAGGGUUAAGGUUAGGGUUAGGUGUAGGGUUUGAUUUUAGGGUUGAUUAAGGGUUAAGGUUAGGGUAAGGUGUAGGGUUUGAUUUUAGGGUUGAUUAAGGGUUAAGGUUAGGGUAAGGUGUAGGGUUUGAUUUUAGGGUUGAUUAAGGGUUAAGGUUAGGGUAAGGUGUAGGGUUUGAUUUUAGGGUUGAUUAAGGGUUAAGGUUAGGGUAAGGUGUAGGGUUAGAUUUUAUGGUUGAUUAAGGGUUAAGGUUAGGGUUAGGUGUAGGGUUAGAUUAUAUGGUUGAUUAAGGGUUAGGGUUAGGUGUAGGGUUAGAUUUUUAUGGUUGAUUAAGGGUUAAGGUUAGGGUUAGGUGUAGGGUUUGAUUUUAGGGUUGAUUAAGGGUUAAGGUUAGGGUUAGGUGUAGGGUUAGAUUUUAUGGUUGAUUAAGGGUUAAGGUUAGGGUUAGGUGUAGGGUUUGAUUUUAGGGUUGAUUAAGGGUUAAGGUUAGG